UAUAUGGAGAGCACUUUUCAUACAGUCAGGUGUAACAACAGGCUUUACAGAAGUUAAAGACAAAAGAACAGAUACUGAACCCCUGAAGAAUCACACUGUAAAAGAUAACACAUAAUAAUGUUAUAGUAAAAUGAAUUACAAGUAAGAGAAAUUCAAUUAUAGAAUUUAGGUUGAGAGAUUGAACUACUUAACCACAAUGAAGUAGGCUUACACCUGAAGUAUGGUUGGAGUUGUCAAACCUAAGAACACCUGUACCAAUUGCAAAGCACGGUAAUAGUAGCAUCAUGCUUUGGGGUUAGUGUUACAGCCAGCUGUAUGGGAACUCUGAACCAAAUGGGUAGUAUGAUAAAGAAGAGGAGUAACAUCAAAUUGUUCAACUUGACUGCUAAUCAAUGGCUAGAUGGGUGACAUUUUGUCAAAUUGAGGUGUUCCAACAGAACAGUGAUGCCAAACACAAAUCAAAACUGGCUUUGAAAUCAUUAAAGAAAACUAGCAGUAUGCAUUAGGAAUGUCUCCGACCUUAACCCUAUUGAACAAUAAUGGACUACGCUUAAAAAGCCAGUGUUACUGCUUGGAAACCAACAAAUUUGAAGGCGCUCAACAGAAUUUGCCAAUAAAAGUGAUCUAAUAUCCAAAAAUAUGUAAAAUCUCCAAAAUACAACUUGCUAAGCAACAUUUAUAUAAACAAAAUACUGCUGAACUACCUGAAGUAUGGUUGGAGUUGUCAAACCUAAGAACACUGUACCAAUUGCAAAGCACGGUGAUAGUAGCAUCAUGCUUUGGGGUUAGUUUUACAGCCAGCUGUAUGGGAACUCUAAACCAAAUAAAAUAUUAGUAAAAAGUAACUGCACAAGGGCAUUAUAUUGUUUUGUUUCUAAUUCUCCAAUUAAUGUGUCUAAAGGUUAUUUAUUAACAUAUAUACAUUUGAAUUCCCAAAUAGGUUCAAAUAUUUGAAUGUACCACAUUAAAAAAUAUUAACAGUAUACAUAUGAAAACCUUCAGAACAUUUGCACAUUAAAAUUCUUGUUUUGUUUCGCUGCCAAGAAGCAAAACAAGAAAUGAUAUGCGUUUUUAGACUUUGGCAUGCCACUGUGAAACCUUGUAACUAAGAGUUGUGCUUUCUUUUUACCAUGAUCACAGCGGUUUUCCAUUGAGUACAACCUGUGAAUUGUUUCUUGCAAAUAUGACAACUGAAAUGUUAGUUUCAUUUGAAAACAGUUUUAUUUUGAUACUGGCCUCAGAAACUAUCACAGCUUACAGUCGUUUAGUCAAAGAACUGAAAGCAGCACAUCAGAAAACCCGAAAAUCCUACAAUUGAACAGUUUAUUGGCAUUGGUCUUCUACAUCUAGCUAUAUGACAGAAAUAUCACUAGAUGGUCUUCUAUACAGGAGCAAAGGCCAUUGCAGGGUUGUCUGACAUG